AUGCACACAACUUUGCAAGUGUGAAAUUAGCGAAUUCAACCUAAAGUCAAAAUUAUAGGUAUGCAUGGUCGAUGUAACUUCCUCGAUGGUGUGUUGGCUGUUUGCCUAUGUGUAUUUCGGGGUAUAGGAGUAGCCUCCCCUUUUAAAGAUCCAAAAUGGUGAUUUUACAGUGCAGCAUGCAGUGUGGUCAACAUCGGAGAGUUUUGACAACCAUAAUACCCAUAUUUCUUCCAUUCACCUCUGUAACCUUUGUUGAGUUCAUCAGACAGUCCAAGACAGGAAGUUGAGGAAUAAAGUUGACAGGACAUCCUGAACUGUCCUCGGUACCAGCUUAUGAGGGAACCAGCCGCAGAGUGGGAAAAGCACGUUAAAUCAUAGGAUAAUAGGUAAGUCUCCGGAGUAGUGUUUGUAGCAAUUCUCGUACUUGGUCCUGCAUUGAAGCUUCAGGACUAUUGAUAUUUAUCUCUGCAUGGAUUCUCUU